rnacentral:rRNA from 1 species
UACAGAGGGUGCUAGCGUUGUUCGGAUUCAUUGGGCGUAAAGGGUGCGUAGGCGGCUUUCUAAGUUUGAUGUGAAAUCCUGGGGCUCAACCCUGGAACUGCAUUGAAUACUGGGAGGCUAGAGAACUGGAGAGGAGACUGGAAUUUACGGUGUAGCAGUGAAAUGCGUAGAGAUCGUAAGGAAGACCAGUGGCGAAGGCGAGUCUCUGGACAGUUACUGACGCUGAGGCACGAAGGCCAGGGGAGCAAACGGG